rnacentral:lncRNA from 1 species
GGGAGAGUGAGACAGAGAGAGAGAGAAUGAGCACCUGAGCAGGGGGAGGUGCAGAGGGAGGAGACAGCAAAUCUCAAGCAGACUUCCUGUUAAGCAAGGAGCCCAAGGCAGGGGUUUAACUCACAGGCCUGAGAUCAUGACUUGAGCUGAAAUCAAGAGUCAAAUGCUUAUCCUACUGAGCCAUCCUUGUGCCUCUAAAGUCACACUUUUUAACUGGCCAAGGAAUCAUGGGGAUUUAAACCUUCUGACCUAUGCUUGAAAAUAUUAUUUGUUCCGGUAAUUUUUAGCAAACCUGGAGAGUGGACAGCCAAGCACAUGUUGCUAUUGCCAUUCUUUCUCCUCUGUGGAUGUGGGAUUGAGGAAGGUAAAUUCCUGGAAUUGCUUCAGUUCACAAAGCAGAGGUAUUUGGAAGCAUGUACUUAUCCUAGUAACGGAAAACAGUGCCUGUUCAUUCUUGAUGCCUGCUGCAUUACUAAAAGCUACCUUGCUGCUAUGUCUCAUUACGUGCUACAGUCAGACCCACUGUGGAAGUAUUACUACUGGCUAUUGCUUUUUCUUCAUGUGAAAUAUCUGGUCUUAUCUCCCACCUGCUGGAGAUGUGCAAUUGGGUUCUUUAAUUUCUUCCCACCUAUUGAAGGGACAAAAUCCACCUCAAAUAUGCCAGUGGAAAAAGAGUAUUUAAAAUGAAGACUCUACUAUCACACCAUUUCUCUUUCCCACUGUUGGGAUUUUACCUCCACUUUCUUUAACAGAGAUGGAACUGGAAAAAGCUAUCCCCACAUCUAUUCAGGUCCACCUAUUUUUCAGCUCCUAACAGACAUGGAUGAGGUUGGGAGGUGGGAGGUAAAAAUGCCCAUCACCCUACUGUCACUGGUUAGUGGACAGUUUCCAGUACCUGCCCACAACCUCCUAGUCAGCUGAUUUCUAGGCACCUGAAAUAUGUCAUUUUUUCCUUUGAUCCUUACCAGGAAUACAGGCCACUCUCCCAGUCUUGCAGGGACCAAUGAAUCAUGACCUCUUAUAGAUCUUUCGUAAUCCUACUGCAGAAGAGGAGCCACCAAAGCCUUGAUUGGUUCUGGGCUUAUGGAUUUCAUAUUUUGCAAAAGCUGUUACAAAAUAUUAUCUAACACUGGGUGUUAAUGCAACUGAUGAGUUAUUGAAAACUACAUCUGAAACUAUGAUGUACUGUAUGUUAGCUAAUUGAAUUUAAAUUAAAAAUAUUAUCUAAAUGUUUAUUCUUUUUUUCAUUCAGGAGUUUCACUUGACAUCAGGAGUUCUUAGCAUGGAUUUUAUAAGUUAACUUCAGGAGUCCAUAGCCCUCAGAAUUGUAUUGUAUAAAUUCAUUUUUUUUUUCUAGGAAAAGAUUCAGAUUCUCAAAGGGGCUCAGAGACGGCCACAAUACUAUGAAUUGUUGGUUUUUAGUACCUAAAUACAUUUGACUUAAGCAGAAAAUUCUCUACCUAUUUUUAUCCUUUUGCUAUUGUUUUGCAUGAUCCAGACUCUGUCUUCACAGAGCUAAUCUUGAUAGAAACACACACGGAACUGCCGCAUUUGAGUCUGAUAUUUGGUAUUACCACAUAUGUUCCAAAUCAUUAAUAUAACAAAGACAAUAAAUCAUUCUUUUGGUAUUUGUUAUUUUUAAAU